rnacentral:rRNA from 1 species
CCUGAGAGAUGAUCAGGUAGAUAGGUUAGAAGUGGAAGUGUGGCGACACAUGUAGCGGACUAAUACUAAUAGCUCGAGGACUUAUCCAAA